rnacentral:rRNA from 1 species
UACGUAGGUGGCGAGCGUUGUCCGGAUUUACUGGGCGUAAAGGGAGCGUAGGCGGACUUUUAAGUGAGAUGUGAAAUACCCGGGCUUAACUUGGGUGCUGCAUUUCAAACUGGAAGUCUAGAGUGCAGGAGAGGAGAAUGGAAUUCCUAGUGUAGCGGUGAAAUGCGUAGAGAUUAGGAAGAACACCGGUGGCGAAGGCGAUUCUCUGGACUGUAACUGACGCUGAGGCUCGAAAGCGUGGGGAGCAAACAGGAUUAGAUACCCCUGUAGUCCCU